CCUCAGGCUUCCCUAGAAGCCAUCAGGAGAUUUUAACUCAAGAACU
rfam:Mesitornis unicolor contig26568, whole genome shotgun sequence.